rnacentral:misc_RNA from 1 species
AAGUCGUAACAAGGUUUCCGUAGGUGAACCUGCGGAAGGAUCAUUAACACGCAUUUAAAAGCAUCCAAUAUCAACAAAUCACAACCAAACGGUCAACUAUCUCCUCCCUAUUUCGCACACCGGAGACGGUACGAGUAGGCUAACAUGUAAAUAACAACAAAGCUCAAUCAAGCAAUUGCUUGCUUGCGCAUAAAAUGUUAUUUUCAAACACAAGAUAACCCCUUUUAAUUAUAUUAUUCAUUUAAUAUAAACGAACAACUCUUCGAAUUUGCCCUUCCUUUGAUUUCAUUUUCAAUGGAAGAACAAAAACGAACUAAACUAAAAUAUACAUUCGAUAUAUUUUUAUUUUACGAAAUACUAUAUAUUUAUAAGAACAACUCUUAGCAAUGGAUAUCUUGGUUCUC